rnacentral:rRNA from 1 species
UACAGAGACUGCAAGCGUUAUUCGGAUUCACUGGGCGUAAAGGGUGCGCAGGCGGCCGUGUGUGUCAGGUGUGAAAGCCCGGGGCUUAACCCCGGAAUUGCGCCUGAAACUACAUGGCUAGAGCAUUGGAGAGGGUAGCGGAAUUCACGGUGUAGCAGUGAAAUGCGUAGAUAUCGUGAGGAACACCAGAGGCGAAGGCGGCUACCUGGACAAUUGCUGACGCUCAGGCACG